GGGGUUGUGGCUCAGUGGUAGAGUACUCAUCUAGCACACAUGAGGCCCUGGGUUUGAUUCUCAGCAUCCCA
rnacentral:tRNA from 1 species